rnacentral:rRNA from 1 species
UGCAAGUCGAACGGUGAAGCCAAGCUUGCUUGGUGGAUCAGUGGCGAACGGGUGAGUAACACGUGAGCAACCUGCCCUGGACUCUGGGAUAAGCGCUGGAAACGGCGUCUAAUACUGGAUAUGAGACGUGAUCGCAUGGUCGUGUUUGGAAAGAUUUUUCGGUCUGGGAUGGGCUCGCGGCCUAUCAGCUUGUUGGUGAGGUAAUGGCUCACCAAGGCGUCGACGGGUAGCCGGCCUGAGAGGGUGACCGGCCACACUGGGACUGAGACACGGCCCAGACUCCUACGGGAGGCAGCAGUGGGGAAUAUUGCACAAUGGGCGGAAGCCUGAUGCAGCAACGCCGCGUGAGGGAUGACGGCCUUCGGGUUGUAAACCUCUUUUAGCAGGGAAGAAGCGAAAGUGACGGUACCUGCAGAAAAAGCGCCGGCUAACUACGUGCCAGCAGCCGCGGUAAUACGUAGGGCGCAAGCGUUAUCCGGAAUUAUUGGGCGUAAAGAGCUCGUAGGCGGUUUGUCGCGUCUGCUGUGAAAUCCCGAGGCUCAACCUCGGGCCUGCAGUGGGUACGGGCAGACUAGAGUGCGGUAGGGGAGAUUGGAAUUCCUGGUGUAGCGGUGGAAUGCGCAGAUAUCAGGAGGAACACCGAUGGCGAAGGCAGAUCUCUGGGCCGUAACUGACGCUGAGGAGCGAAAGGGUGGGGAGCAAACAGGCUUAGAUACCCUGGUAGUCCACCCCGUAAACGUUGGGAACUAGUUGUGGGGACCAUUCCACGGUUUCCGUGACGCAGCUAACGCAUUAAGUUCCCCGCCUGGGGAGUACGGCCGCAAGGCUAAAACUCAAAGGAAUUGACGGGGACCCGCACAAGCGGCGGAGCAUGCGGAUUAAUUCGAUGCAACGCGAAGAACCUUACCAAGGCUUGACAUAUACGAGAACGGGCCAGAAAUGGUCAACUCUUUGGACACUCGUAAACAGGUGGUGCAUGGUUGUCGUCAGCUCGUGUCGUGAGAUGUUGGGUUAAGUCCCGCAACGAGCGCAACCCUCGUUCUAUGUUGCCAGCACGUAAUGGUGGGAACUCAUGGGAUACUGCCGGGGUCAACUCGGAGGAAGGUGGGGAUGACGUCAAAUCAUCAUGCCCCUUAUGUCUUGGGCUUCACGCAUGCUACAAUGGCCGGUACAAAGGGCUGCAAUACCGUAAGGUGGAGCGAAUCCCAAAAAGCCGGUCCCAGUUCGGAUUGAGGUCUGCAACUCGACCUCAUGAAGUCGGAGUCGCUAGUAAUCGCAGAUCAGCAACGCUGCGGUGAAUACGUUCCCGGGUCUUGUACACACCGCCCGUCAAGUCAUGAAAGUCGGUAACACCUGAAGCCGGUGGCCCAACCCUUG